GGAAUAGAAGCUGGUAGGGUACAGACUUUGGUGUCUGAAUGCCUGGGUUCAAAUCCCAGCUCUUCUA
rfam:Macaca mulatta chromosome 6, whole genome shotgun sequence.